GGGCAAGUACAUCCUGACACCAAGCCCCAUCACCUAUGGGGAGGAGCAGCUGCUACACUUCUUAGGCCAGCUGCUGGGGAUCGCCAUUCGUGCAGAUGUGCCUCUCCCCCUGGACCUGCUGCCCUCCUUCUGGAAGACGCUGGUUGGCGAGCCUCUCGACCCUGACCAGGACCUGCAGGAAGCAGACAUCCUCACCUACAAUUAUGUCAAGAAGUUUGAGAGUAUCAAUGAUGAGAGCGAGCUGGAGGCCUUGUGUGCCGAGAUUGCCUCCCAGCACCUGGCCACCGAGAGCCCUGAAGGUCCCAAGCCCUGCUGCCGGUUCACCUACCUGACCAUGACUGGCGAGGAGGUGGAGCUAUGCAGCCGUGGCCGGCACAUCCCUG
rnacentral:lncRNA from 1 species